CGGCGUAAAGAGUGGUUAUGGGAAAAUCAACUGGAAAAGAACGCUUCUCUGGCCGUUAUACGCUCCCGGACAGCGGAAUCGCACACGCGAAAGCACCUCCACCCAAGUCUACCAGAAGCCACGAUAGCCAGGGAACAAACUGGGAUUAGAUACCCCACUAUGCCUGGCCCUAAACAUUGAUGUUACCACACAACAUACAUCCGCCUGGGUACUACGGGCAUCAGCCUAAAACCCAAAGGACUUGGCGGUGUUUCAGACCCCCCUAGAGGAGCCUGUUCUAGAACCGAUAAUCCUCGUUUAACCUCACCAUCCCUGGUCCAACCCGCCUAUAUACCGCCGUCGCCAGCUUACCCUGUGAAGGUAUCAUAGUAAGCAGAAUGGGCACCGCCCAAAACGUCAGGUCGAGGUGUAGCGCACGGGGUGGGAAGAAAUGGGCUACAUUACCUGAUGCAGGUAAUACACGGACUGCUCGCUGAAAAAGAGCACGAAGGUGGAUUUAGCAGUAAGGGGAAAAUAGAGUGCCCCCCUGAAGCAGGCUCUGAAACGCGCACACACCGCCCGUCACUCUCCCCAAAUAGU
rnacentral:rRNA from 1 species